AUACGUAUGUCGCAAGCGUUAUCCGGAUUUAUUGGGCGUAAAGCGCGUCUAGGCGGUUUAGUAAGUCUGAUGUGAAAAUGCGGGGCUCAACCCCGUAUUGCGUUGGAAACUGCUAAACUCGAGUACUGGAGAGGUAGGCGGAACUACAAGGGUAGAGGUGAAAUUCGUAGAUAUUUGUAGGAAUGCCGAUGGGGAAGCCAGCCGACUGGACAGAUACUGACGCGAAAGUGCGAAAGCGUGGGUAGCAAACAGGAUUAGAUUCCCUGGUAGUCCACGCCGUAAACGAUGAUUACUAGGUGUUGGGGGUCGAACCUCAGCGCCCAAGCUAACGCGAUAAGUAAUCCGCCUGGGGAGUACGUACGCAAGUAUGAAACUCAAAGGAAUUGACGGGG
rnacentral:rRNA from 1 species